rnacentral:rRNA from 1 species
AGAACGAACGCUGGCGGCAUGCCUAACACAUGCAAGUCGAACGAAGCCUUCGGGCUUAGUGGCGCACGGGUGCGUAACGCGUGGGAAUCUGCCCCUCGGUUCGGAAUAACAGUUAGAAAUGACUGCUAAUACCGGAUGAUGACGAAAGUCCAAAGAUUUAUCGCCGAGGGAUGAGCCCGCGUAGGAUUAGCUAGUUGGUGAGGUAAAGGCUCACCAAGGCGACGAUCCUUAGCUGGUCUGAGAGGAUGAUCAGCCACACUGGGACUGAGACACGGCCCAAACUCCUACGGAGGCAGCAGGUGGGAAUAUUGGACAAGUGGGCGAAAGCCUGAUCCAG